rfam:Gossypium hirsutum cultivar TM-1 chromosome 23, whole genome shotgun sequence
UAUUAAAAAUUUCAUCCAUUGUUACUGUUGAAAACUGGCAUUGUGGACUGAAUAACUAAACAGUUACACAUGACGUCCAUGUCUGCCUCAUUCUAACUUUCAUGGACCAAAUUUUAAUAGUAAAAAUAGAUGAAAAUUUUAAUA